CCAGUUGAACAUGAAGAGAAAACUCCUUCUGCACCAUGGUUGGCUUCUUCCUCGGAAGAGAAAACUCAAUCGAAUUCUAGCCAAACUCCAAUCAAAGAAAAUCCGGUCUUCGUUGUUAUGAUUCUCUUUGUUUUAUUCAUACAAUCAAUUUCAUUGGAACUUGAUUAUAACGAUGAAGAUGAUUGAUUUCAAGUGAAUUUGUUUUCUUCGACUCAUUCUUAUCGUUUCUGGUACUUUUAAAUAUUAAAGAACACUACACCAAUUCUCCUCUGUCAGCCACUAGAGCUGCUUAAUGGGGGCUUUAAGUGCUUGAGCAGACCAAGCUUUAAAGCAUAGCUAGUCAAAGAGAAAAAAAAAAAUCCAGUUUUGUGGCUGUGUUAUGAGACUAUGUGCAGUAAGAUUGAUGUCUUCUGUGAUGCAAAGAAGGUCAUUGAUGCUCUUCAAAGUAGGGAGGUACCUCUGGCUUUAGCUUGGUGUACAGAGAAUAAAUCCAAGUUGAAGAAAUCCAAGGUGCAACAUUAUUUCUCUAAGUUUUUGUUUGUCUUGUGAUAAUUAUCUCGGUGAAAAGGUCAUCAUCUUUAUAAAAUGCACACUUUAGUUUAACAUUCUCUAGCGAUUUUUAGAAAGUUUAAACAUGCAAGUGUACUGCUAUUUGUCUACCUACAUACAUUCUUCAAGAAUUAAUUUCACUGUUCCGACCUUUGUGCUGAAUACUGUCCAAAGGAUAAAAAUUCUAAAACUUGCUGCUGAAUGUUAUGUUUCAGUUUUUUUUCUCACAAUUUUCCUAUUUCUCUUCUGACUCACUAUGUGCCAUGAGUGACUAAACUGCGUGUUCGAUUGACUUUUUUGUUCUUGGUUGUCUGUCUGAGUGAUUAAAUGUG